AACGCUGGCGGCGUGCCUAAUACAUGCAAGUCGAGCGAAUGGAUUAAGAGCUUGCUCUUAUGAAGUUAGCGGCGGACGGGUGAGUAACACGUGGGUAACCUGCCCAUAAGACUGGGAUAACUCCGGGAAACCGGGGCUAAUACCGGAUAACAUUUUGAACCGCAUGGUUCGAAAUUGAAAGGCGGCUUCGGCUGUCACUUAUGGAUGGACCCGCGUCGCAUUAGCUAGUUGGUGAGGUAACGGCUCACCAAGGCAACGAUGCGUAGCCGACCUGAGAGGGUGAUCGGCCACACUGGGACUGAGACACGGCCCAGACUCCUACGGGAGGCAGCAGUAGGGAAUCUUCCGCAAUGGACGAAAGUCUGACGGAGCAACGCCGCGUGAGUGAUGAAGGCUUUCGGGUCGUAAAACUCUGUUGUUAGGGAAGAACAAGUGCUAGUUGAAUAAGCUG
rnacentral:rRNA from 1 species